rnacentral:tRNA from 1 species
CCCGGUUCUGGGAGGCCGUGGAGCGCGAGGACCUGGAGGGUCUGGCGGCCGAGCUGGAGGUGGCGGACGGUUCCGCGGCCGCCGAACUGGGU